rnacentral:rRNA from 1 species
UACGAGGGGGCGAGCGUUUGUUCGGAAUUAUUGGGCGUAAAGGGCGCGUAGGCGGUGCGGUAAGUCACCUGUGAAACCUCUGGGCCUCAACCCAGAGCCUGCAGGCGAAACUGCCGUGCUGGAGGUGGGAGAGGUGCGUGGAAUUCCCGGUGUAGCGGUGAAAUGCGUAGAUAUCUGGAGGAACACCGGUGGCGAAGGCGGCGGUCUGGCCCAACAUUGACACUGAGACUCGAAAGUGCGGGGAUCAAACAGG